GAGAACACGAAGACAAAAUGGCUGAUAGGAGAAAAUAUGUAAAGGAUGAGAAGGAUCGUGAUGGUGGAGAUGUCAAACCGAAACUCGAUGAUCCACCGAAUUCCAGAUUGUUCAUAGUUUGUAAUAAAAAUAUUACCGAAGAGGAAUUUCGAAGUGCCUUCGAGAAAUAUGGAACGAUUGAAGAAAUAUGGGUCGUUAGAGACAGAAACACAGGAGAUCCAAAAGGUGUUACCUAUAUCAAGUUUUCAAAGACUUCAGAAGCUGCCCUUGCACUGGAAGAAAUGAAUGGGUGUUGUAUAGGUUCACACCCAAGACCUUUGAAAGUCAUGAUUGCACAUAGUCGUGAUCAGGGCUCAAAGCGUGAAAUGAACGAGGAAGAAAGAUUAUUACGAUUAUUCUGUGUUGUACCCAAAACAACAACUGAUCAGAUGUUGCGAGAUCAUUUCAAGCAGUUUGGAGAUAUAGAUUAUGUUUCUGUUGUUAAGGAUAGGGAAACUAAGGAAAGCAAAGGAUUUGCGUACGUGAAGUUUCACAAGGUAUCACAUGCUGCUAAAGCAUUUGAGGGCUGUGAUCGAUCAUACAAAGCUGUGUUUGCAGAGCCCAAGAAGCAGAAGAAUCCUUAUGAUAUAUAUGACCGCUUCAGUGGACCACCAUCAACUGUUACAUCUUUUGAUUCUCCUCUCUCACCAUUCAGUUCCAAAGUAGCAAGUUUCAGCAAUCCAGAAGGCUACACUUCACUUCGAGUGAUUGCAUCACCAAGCUUGAAUCAGGAUCAGUUGUGGAGGCUGUUUGACAUUGUCCCUGGCUUGGAUUUCCUUCAUCUUGAUACCAAGUCUAGACUUGGCAAGGGGCAGGCAAUAGUUGUAUAUGGCAGUCCACAGGCAGCAGCAUAUGCCAAGGAGAAACUGCAUGGGUUUGAGUACCCACCAGGACAGCGACUGAUUGUGAAGCCUGAAAUAAAUCUUCAUAAUGACUUGCCUCUGUCACAUCUUUCUAGAGGGAGUCCAAUGGGGAGGAAUCCAUAUGCUGGUGCAUCUUCCCCUCGAAUACCCUCCAAUGUUGGGCCUCCCACAACUAUAGCUCGUAAUUCAGGUCUUCAGACAGAUCUUGCAACUCUUGCUGAAACUAUUGCACAGGCCACAUCCAUCAUUCAAGCAGCUGGCCUCACCCAAGGUGGAGCAAACAGUGCAGGACAGACACGUGAAACGUAUGACCCUACAUACUGCUCGGUUAAACUCCCUGAACCUCAGCCGCUUGCACCUAUGGAUGCUGAAACUGUUGAAAGGUUGUUCAUUGUGUGCCACCCGGGCCCACCCCCAAUGUUUGCAAUGAGAGAUGUAUUUGGGCGUUUUGGGAAUCUGAUUGACGUAUAUAUGUUGAGUGGAAAGAUCUGUGGCUAUGCAAAAUAUGCCAGCAAAGAGUCAGCUGAACAAGCUAUGCAGACACUUCAUGGGCAAGAAGUGUGUGGAAUUCGAUUGAAGGUGAUGGCUGCUGAUCCACGGAAUGACGAUCGCAGGAAGCGACUGCGUAUGGAUGACCAUGAUCCUUAGAGGGAGCAAAUGAAAGAUUUUCAUGACUUGCUCAGACAGAAGACAGAAGUAUCUGGGUUUGGUGGAGAGGAUGGCAGUGCAGUAUAGCUGGAUGUGGUGCCCCAAGCUCUUCCACGGCUGACAUCUAAACAGAUAUGUCACUUGUGCUCCUUCAACCUUUUGUCAGUCAAAUAGCCCAUCUGCCCAAUGUAGACCUGACCACACUCUCAGGGGAUGCUGUAUACUCCUGGCAUCUUCAGUCUGAGGUCAUCCUUGGCUGACUGAAAGAAACCAGAUAUUUUCCUGGAAGGGGCCCACAGACUUGAUGUUGUGCUGAGACAGCACCCUGCUGAUGGGGUUGAAUAUCGACUUGACAUAAAGCAGGAAAGUGACUGAGUCUGGCUUUUCGUUGGGCUGGGCAACCCUUAGGGGAGGGUUGAGGGCCCUUUGGCUCUGCCGGUUUGUGUAGCCAUUCUGCCUGAAAAUGUCUCCCAGGAACACCAAUGCCACAUGAAGGCUGUCUUGAUCACAGAGCUCUGGCUCUGUGUACCAGUGUGGAAAGUAUGGAAUGCUUGUUGGAAGGGCGGUGGUGAGAGCUGGAAUUUAGGUAGAAGUUUGUAUGGGUAGAUUUAUGAAUUUUAUGGCAUAUCUCAGAAGGUAGUACUCUGAAUAAUUUAUGUUCUUAGAGUUUAAUAAUAUACAUAAUGCUUUGUUGUUGGCAUUUAAUGAUUGAAACCAGUUUCAUCAUUGAUUUUGGAGUGCUCACUAGCAUGACUGAAAACAGGACAGUUCAGAAUCUUCAGAAUUCAUUAAUAAAUGCUGGACCAGUACAGAAUAGAAUCUUGGUAAAUUACUUUGACGUCAUGAGUCCACAAGUAUCAUAACUGUAAUUCUAACACUUGAUUUUCCUUUAAGAGAAAACCAAACUUCUAUAUUCUGAGUCCAGUCAAGUGCCAGAUGAGGACUGAGUUUCUGAUGAUGUGCUGGCUGGUUGAUCCUAUGAUAUACCUCAUAGGCAGUGAUGGUUGAGUACAGGAGCAAAUUGGAAUAAUGAUUGGCAGGGGAAGUAAAGUAUUAGAGAAAGCUCUGUCCCAUGCCACAUCAUCGACAAAUCCCACUGUAGCGUGUGGCUCCACGAGAAGGAGCUGAUGUCUAACUGCUUUAGCUGUGGUGCUGCCUUGAUUUUUCUAGUCCUUCGUAAACAGUUUUUGGAAUCUUUUGCAAGGCCACGAACCAGUGUUUGAAAACCAUUGUUGUGGGUAGAUAAGGUUGCUUGUAUGUAUAGGGCCUUUGCUUUUAUUGUGUUAGUGAUAAAUGCAAUUAGAAUAUGAAAGAUACUUUUCCAAUACACUUUUGUUGGAAUUAUUUCAGAAAUCCUACAAAAUGUAAUCCCUUAAACAUACUGGCUGGGAGGAUCAAAGUUUGCCGCAGACCAAGCGCCAGCAGCUGUUACGGAGUCUGUAUGUAUUCCACAAUGGCAAAACAGUAGCCCAGAGUAUAUAACACUGAGCGACAGGCUUAUUGGUGAAUAAUGAACUGCAAAGGAAGUGGAGGUGGCCUAAUUUGAGGUACUGCCCCAACACAUGCCUGGAAGGACAAAGGAAGUCAUGAAAGACCUCAGGAUAGCUGGCCUUAAGGCUGAGAUCAUGACCUGUGACCUGCUAAAUUCAAAGCAAGAGCUCUACCCACAUGACUUCAACAUUCACUGUAUUGAAGCUUUUGAUGUCAAUUGCUGAUUAAACAAAGGGUGCAUUGUGCAAGAGAUACUCGUACAGUAAAAUUCGUUUUUUGUUCAAAUGAGAAAUAUGACUACAUGUACAACUUGUUGGAAUGCCUCAGAGGAAGAAAACAUUGGAAGAUCCAGGUGCAGAUGGACAAGCAGUAUUGAAGUAGAGUAAACUGACUCAUAAAGAGAUCACUUUCCAUUUUUGGUUAAAGAAACAAAACAUUUUAUGUCAGUGAAAAUUAAAAUUGUGGUCUUCUUAGUUGUGACAUGGCAUACUUUCAUAAGUGGUUUGAGAGGAGUCUGCUGCCUCCAUCUUUAGGGUAGAUAUCUACAGUCUUAAUAGAAAUAAUGUAAAAACUUCAACCAUUGAUAGUUAGUUUGUUACAGUUAAAGCAGGCCUCUACAGUGAUUGCAAAACCGAAGUCAACUGAAUGGAGAUAAUUGAGACAAUCUGAGACAUGAAACUAGCAGAGCUUUCAGGAGCUACAAGAGAAAUAAUGGAAAGACAAAAUUAAUGAGCAUGAAACAAACAGAGCAAAAACUUGAACUUGUGUAGAGCAUGAAUGAAUUUAACAAGAUCAUGAAAGUAUACAGUGUAUAUUUGACAGCUGCAUUCAGCAAAAAGAAUUAUAAAUAAUGAAAGCUGUGAUGAACUCUUCCUUUAUAAUUAAAAAAACAUUAAAAUCAUGUGCAAUUAUUCACUAUUAGGUGAUGAUACUGAAAUUGGUGAAUGAAUGAGUAUUAAAACUCGAAUGUUUGCUGUUACUAUGCAUGCUGAAGAAAAAUGUAUGUAAAUUGAUGGUAUGUGCUUCAAAGUCAUAAUGUAAUACAGCACUACAUUAAAGA